CGCAGACUCCACAGUGUCUUAAUGUAACCAUGAUUGCAUUCCGACCCGAGUGCAGCGCAGUGUAAACGAGCGUAAAGGUAGGCCGGUGUCUUCUGGCAAGGUGAAUACUGAAUAUACACCCAUUGGAGACAGCAGCACUGUCCCUGCAUGGCUUUCCAUCUGUCCCCUGGAAAGGAAUGCUACAGAUGAGUGAAUGUACCACCAUUUUCUAGGAAACCGGUGGAGGUGCGGCGUCAUACCUGCAACCAAUCAGAGCACACCAUUUUUUUUUAUUCAAACAGGUCUCCUCCAGCCUGUUCCUUAGUUACUCUAAUAAGGUCUCCUCCAGCCUGUUCCUUAGUUACACUAAUAAGGGCUCCUCCAGCCUGUUCCUUAGUUACACUAAUAAGGGCUCCUCCAGCCUGUUCCUUAGUUACACUAAUAAGGGCUCCUCCAGCCUGUUCCUUAGUUACUCUAAUAAGGGCUCCUCCAGCCUGUUCCUUAGUUACUCUAAUAAGGGCUCCUCCAG
rnacentral:lncRNA from 1 species